CCCUUAGAUGUUCUGGGCCGCACGCGCGCUACAAUGGCAGACUCAGCGAGUUACCUCUGUCGAAAGGCACAGGGAAUCUUUACAGUAUCUGCCGUGAUGGGGAUAGACCCUUGUAAUUUUUGGUCUUCAACGUGGAAUUCCUAGUAAACGCAAGUCAUUAACUUGCAUUGAUUACGUCCCUGCCCUUUGUACACACCGCCCGUCGCACCUACCGAUUGAAUGGUCCGGUGAAGUCCUCGGACCCAGUUGAACCUCGAGUUGAACAGGGAAAGUUGACUAAAUCUUACCAUUUAGAGGAAGGUGAAGUCGUAACA
rnacentral:rRNA from 1 species